rnacentral:rRNA from 1 species
GAUGAACGCUGGCGGCGUGCCUAAUACAUGCAAGUCGAGCGAACAGACGAGGAGCUUGCUCCUCUGACGUUAGCGGCGGACGGGUGAGUAACACGUGUAUAACCUACCUAUAUGACUGGGAUAACUUCGGGAAACCGGAGCUAAUACCGGAUAAUAUAUUGAACCGCAUGGUUCAAUAGUGAAAUACGGUUUUGCUGGCACUUAUAGAUGGAUCCGCGCCGCAUUAGCUAGUUGGUAAGGUAACGGCUUACCACGGCAACGAUGCGUAGACGACCUGAGAGGGUGGUCGGCCACACGGGAACUGAGACACGGUCAAGACUCCUAAGGGACGCACCAGUAGGGAAUGUUCGGCAAUGGGCGAAAGCCUGACGGAGCAACGCCGCGUGAGUGAUGAAGGUCUUCGGAUCGUAAAACUCUGUUAUUAGGUAAGAACAAAUGUGUAAGUAACUAUGCACGUCUUGACGGUACCUAAUAAGAAAGCCACGGCUAACUACGUG